GACUGCAUGAGCCGGAGACUCCGUGACACUUGCAUGCGACGUUGGCCAGAUUGUACACUGCCUUGACCAAGGUGUGAUGGAUAGACAGGCUCAUCGGUGCGUGGAAAGGACACGCAUGCGGUGCUGUGCACAAUGGAGCGCGCUCAGACGGGUCAGGGUCACUGCUGGGCGGGGUCGGGGCGGAGCAAGGAGGAGUGGAGAUAAGAGGACGGGGAAACGAGUCUGAAGUAAACAAAUACAAAUCUCUCUGAGCUAUGCUAAGAAAAUGGAGCAGUUUUCAAGGCUACAACAAUGUGAGACUUUUAAAGCAUCUGUAUAUAUGUGUGUA